AAUUGCGCACAUAGACAUAGGUAAGUGGUUACUAUAGCUCGGUCACAGAACACGUAGAACUCUAGCCACUGACCUAUCUCUUUUAUUAUUCAUACGCGAAAAUAUCGCUACCGUACUGGUCCUUCGGCACACCUGUGGGAGCGAGACAGCUAAAUAUUAUAGUUGGCGAGUGAAAGAGACAAGAAGCAAUAUGGCCAAUAUGUCAAUGGCCGGAUUUUCACAUAGUCGGUGAGCGAGCUACAAUGAAUAAAUGACGGAUUUGUACCUUCUAAGGCCUCACAAAUUAUACUGUUGAGCGAGUAAA